rnacentral:miRNA from 2 species
AACCGGCAUCUGUAAUAUAUUAUA